GACGGACGCUGGCGGCGUGCUUAACACAUGCAAGUCGAACGGAAAGGCCCUGCUUUUGUGGGGUGCUCGAGUGGCGAACGGGUGGGUAACACGUGAGUAACCUGCCCUUGACUUUGGGAUAACUUCAGGAAACUGGGGCUAAUACCGGAUAGGAGCUCCUGCUGCAUGGUGGGGGUUGGAAAGUUUCGGCGGUUGGGGAUGGACUCGCGGCUUAUCAGCUUGUUGGUGGGGUAGUGGCUUACCAAGGCUUUGACGGGUAGCCGGCCUGAGAGGGUGACCGGCCACAUUGGGACUGAGAUACGGCCCAGACUCCUACGGGAGGCAGCAGUGGGGAAUAUUGCACAAUGGGCGGAAGCCUGAUGCAGCAACGCCGCGUGCGGGAUGACGGCCUUCGGGUUGUAAACCGCUUUCGCCUGUGACGAAGCGUGAGUGACGGUAAUGGGUAAAGAAGCACCGGCUAACUACGUG
rnacentral:rRNA from 1 species